CCUACGGGGGGCUGCAGUGGGGAAUAUUGCACAAUGGGCGCAAGCCUGAUGCAGCCAUGCCGCGUGUGUGAAGAAGGCCUUCGGGUUGUAAAGCACUUUCAGCGGGGAGGAAGGCGUUAAGGUUAAUAACCUUGGCGAUUGACGUUACCCGCAGAAGAAGCACCGGCUAACUCCGUGCCAGCAGCCGCGGUAAUACGGAGGGUGCAAGCGUUAAUCGGAAUUACUGGGCGUAAAGCGCACGCAGGCGGUCUGUCAAGUCGGAUGUGAAAUCCCCGGGCUCAACCUGGGAACUGCAUUCGAAACUGGCAGGCUAGAGUCUAGUAGAGGGGGGUAGAAUUCCAGGUGUAGCGGUGAAAUGCGUAGAGAUCUGGAGGAAUACCGGUGGCGAAGGCGGCCCCCUGGACAAAGACUGACGCUCAGGUGCGAAAGCGUGGGGAGCAAACAGGAUUAGAUACCCGGGUAGUC
rnacentral:rRNA from 1 species